GAUGAACGCUGGCGGCGUGCCUAAUACAUGCAAGUCGAGCGAACGGACGAGAAGCUUGCUUCUCUGAUGUUAGCGGCGGACGGGUGAGUAACACGUGGAUAACCUACCUAUAAGACUGGGAUAACUUCGGGAAACCGGAGCUAAUACCGGAUAAUAUUUUGAACCGCAUGGUUCAAAAGUGAAAAACGGUCUUGCUGUCACUUAUAGAUGGAUCCGCGCUGCAUUAGCUAGUUGGUAAGGUAACGGCUUACCAAGGCAACGAUGCAUAGCCGACCUGAGAGGGUGAUCGGCCACACUGGAACUGAGACACGGUCCAGACUCCUACGGGAGGCAGCAGUAGGGAAUCUUCCGCAAUGGGCGAAAGCCUGACGGAGCAACGCCGCGUGAGUGAUGAAGGUCUUCGGAUCGUAAAACUCUGUUAUUAGGGAAGAACAUAUGUGUAAGUAACUGUGCACAUCUUGACGGUACCUAAUCAGAAAGCCACGGCUAACUACGU
rnacentral:rRNA from 1 species